rnacentral:tRNA from 1 species
AAGGGCAUAACUUAGUGGCAGAGUGCGCACUUAGCACGCACGAGGUCCUGGGUGCAAUUCCCAGUGCCUCUG